UGCCCAAAGGAAGAUUUCAGUAGCCAACAGGU
rnacentral:piRNA from 1 species